GCUUCCGGGAGUUUUCAAGCCGACUGUGUGGCCUCUGAGAAGAGUUUUGCACGUGGAUCGCCGUUCGGGUGGGCGAGAUGGAGACAGCCCCCAAGCCGGGCAAGGAUGUCCCGCCCAAGAAAGACAAACUUCAGACCAAGAGAAAGAAACCGCGGCGAUACUGGGAGGAAGAGACCGUUCCGACCACAGCCGGAGCCUCUCCAGGGCCUCCUCGUAACAAGAAGAAUCGGGAGCUCCGUCCUCAGAGACCAAAAAAUGCUCACAUCUUAAAGAAGUCUCGGAUCUCUAAGAAGCCUCAGGUCCCGAAGAAACCCCGAGAAUGGAAGAACCCGGAGUCCCAGAGCGGCUUGUCCGGGGCCCAAGAUCCAUUCCCAGGCCCCGCCCCCGUCCCUGUGGAAGUGGUCCAGAAGUUCUGUCGCAUUGACAAAUCCCGAAAGCUACCACAUUCUAAAGCCAAAACUCGAAGCCGACUUGAGGUGGCUGAAGCUGAGGAAGAGGAAACAAGUAUCAAAGCUGCUCGUUCUGAGCUGCUCCUUGCUGAAGAACCUGGGUGAGUGGGCCCUAAUCUGGACCCCCAUUCCCUGCCUUAUGGGGCUGUCUUUUCUCGUUUUUAUGUUGGUAUACUUGCUUCAUAUUGGGAAGCUUUACUGCCAUCCUAACCCUUGCUUUCAGGUUUCUGGAAGGGGAGGAUGGGGAAGACACAGCAAAGAUAUGCCAGGCUGACAUUGUGGAGGCUGUGGACAUUGCAAGUGCAGCCAAGCACUUUGACUUGAAUCUGCGGCAGUUUGGACCCUACAGACUAAACUACUCUCGAACUGGAAGACACCUGGCUUUUGGAGGGCGCCGAGGUCAUGUGGCUGCCCUUGAUUGGGUAACAAAGAAGCUUAUGUGCGAGAUCAACGUCAUGGAGGCGGUGCGGGACAUCCGGUUUCUCCAUUCUG
rnacentral:sRNA from 1 species